rnacentral:pre_miRNA from 1 species
CGGUGUUAACUCUUGGCACUGGGAGAAUUCACAGUUGUUAUCUGUUAGAUUCUGUGGUUCUUUGGGUGUCAAAUGUUAAUGCGA